rnacentral:rRNA from 1 species
UCCGGAUUUAUUGGGUUUAAAGGGUCCGUAGGCGGAUCUGUAAGUCAGUGGUGAAAUCUCACAGCUUAACUGUGAAACUGCCAUUGAUACUGCAGGUCUUGAGUAAGGUAGAAGUGGCUGGAAUAAGUAGUGUAGCGGUGAAAUGCAUAGAUAUUACUUAGAACACCAAUUGCGAAGGCAGGUCACUAUGUCUUAACUGACGCUGAUGGACGAAAGCGUGGGGAGCGAACAGGAUUAGAUACCCUGGUAGUCCACGCUGUAAACGAUGCUAACUCGUUUUUGGGUUUUCGGAUUCAGAGACUAAGCGAAAGUGAUAAGUUAGCCACCUGGGGAGUACGAACGCAAGUUUGAAACUCAAAGGAAUUGACGGGGGCCCGCACAAGCGGUGGAUUAUGUGGUUUAAUUCGAUGAUACGCGAGGAACCUUACCAAGGCUUAAAUGGGAAUUGAUCGGUUUAGAAAUAGACCUCCCUUCGGGCAAUUUUCAAGGUGCUGCAUGGUUGUCGUCAGCUCGUGCCGUGAGGUGUUAGGUUAAGUCCUGCAACGAGCGCAACCCCUGUUACUAGUUGCUACCAUUAAGUUGAGGACUCUAGUAAGACUGCCUACGCAAGUAGAGAGGAAGGUGGGGAUGACGUCAAAUCAUCACGGCCCUUACGCCUUGGGCCACACACGUAAUACAAUGGCCGGUACAGAGGGCAGCUACACAGCGAUGUGAUGCAAAUCUCGAAAGCCGGUCUCAGUUCGGAUUGGAGUCUGCAACUCGACUCUAUGAAGCUGGAAUCGCUAGUAAUCGCGCAUCAGCCAUGGCGCGGUGAAUACGUUCCCGGGCCUUGUACACACCGCCCGUCAAGCCAUGGAAGUCUGGGGUACCUGAAGUCGGUGACCGUAAAAGGAGCUGCCUAGGGUAAAACAGGUAACUAGGGCUAAGUCGUAACAAGGUAACCGUA